rnacentral:rRNA from 1 species
GGGAAGGGGUUUUAUGAGGGUCUGACUCGGAAGUGAUAUAUAACUGCCGCGGUAUUUUGACCGUGCAAAGGUAACAAAAACAUUAGCCUUUUAAUGCAAAGCUGGAAUGAAGGGUAUACCGAAACAGUAACUGUCUCAUUUAUUAAAAUUAAAACUUAAUUUUUAAAUUCUAAAGUUAAAUUGAUAUUGUAGGAGAACCAGACCCUAUUUACCUUUACUUUUAAAUUUUUAAUAUUCAAUUGUUGUAUAUUUUUAUUUUAAAUAUAUUUUGUUUUGUUGGGGUGAUAAAAUUAUCAAAUAAAUUUUUUUAUCUAAAAACAAUUAUUUUUUAAUAAAUGAUCCUUUAUUAUUGAUUAAUAGAUCAAGUUACCUUACUGAUAACAUCUUCUUCUUCUUUUGGAUUUCCAAUUUACGCUUGCGCUCGCGACCUCGGAUGUUGGAUUAAAAUUGGUGUUGGUGUAAUCUGUAAAUACCUUUGUCUCUUCCACCUUUAAAAUCUCAACAUGAUCUUAAGUUCAGGCCCGGUUUUAUGCCAGGUGGUUUUCUAA